rnacentral:tRNA from 1 species
GAUUUUAUAGUUUAAUAGAAUAGAAGACUGCAAAUCUUUAGGUGCUUCUGGCUAAAAUCU